rnacentral:lncRNA from 14 species
UAGUAAAUCAUCAAGUAUUUUUCUAUUACCUGAAACUGGCCUUCUUUUAUUUUUUUAGAUGAUGACAAGAUCUUCAAGAACAGGUUAAUAGAAUCUGUGACGUCUCUCCAAGGUGGUAAAGUCGACAGCAACAACCUGGACACAGUUCUGGAUAACAUGGGAAUCAAACUUUCAAAUACGGAACUUCAAGAUCUGAAGCAAAGCAUGAACGUUGGAGGGGAGAAGAUCGAACCCAGUGAUGUACCGAGUAUCCUGGAGAAACUUCACAUAGAGCUCACAGAGGAGGAGCUAGAGGAGCUGAUGAAAAGGUUACCCGUAGACGGUAAGUCAGUGGGAGCUCCUUGUGAGGGUGGAUUUUACUUGUCAGCAUUACAUUUUUAAUUGUUCCAAAGGACUAAGAAUAAUUUGAAGACUAGAUAUGCAUAUGAAAAUUAUUAGCACCAGAGUUUCUGUAAGAAACCAGGCAGCCCUUGAUACAUGUUUUCUGUUCCCGCUUCCACACCACUAGGGAGUUUGCAAUAUGUAUUUAUAUGGAAGAAACUAAAAGCAACUUCAGAAUUUAAAAGAAAGAAAAGGUGCAUGUAUGUAUUGGCAUAAUAGACUUACUAGCAUAUUGAGAAAAGCCAUUAAUUUC